AUAAUGAAUAAAGCUACCCGUCUGACAGGGGGUCCACACCGAGUCGGACCCCGACGGUCCACGACUUCAUUCAAAUCCCGCAAAAACCAACCGAAACUCUUCUUCAUCUCUCUCUCUCUUCGCAAUUCUGGUUUCCUCUGAGUCUGAUAUACCUCUCUCUCUUCCAAUAAUAUGCACCGUUCAUCGAGUGCGACUCGAGUAUCAUCAUCAUCGGAGUUCCUCAAUCACUCCUCUUCAUCAUCAUCAUUAUCAUCAUCUUCUCAAUCUCAGACUUUCAAGCCUCUCUCAAUCUCCUCCGAUCAACAACUACCCACAUACAAUCCCCAAUCCCAGGUCGCCAAGAAAGAGCGAACUCGUCUCAGAUCCGCAGAGACCGCUGUUCAUCUCAUCCCACUCUUUCUCAUCCUAUGUGCCAUCGUCCUCUGGUUUUUCUCCAACCCAGGCUUCACUAGAAAAUAAUGAAAAUCGAAAAGGUGGAAAGUAGAACCAUACCAAGUUUUAAAGUUCAAAGCUAUUUGUUUUUCUAUACAGCAGUAGAUUUGACAAAUAAAGGUGAUUCAAUGCCAGAAUUGAGGGCCUGACAGUUAAUGGAGAUAUCGACAAUGUUGGUCCAAGAAGCAGCUCAGUUUCAGACCUGAAGCCAGGGAACUUCAAAUCAGCAAAGCCAUUGGCAGAGGCAGAUCCACAAGAUUAAUGAAGGUUUAGUCCUUAUGUAGGGUUAUUUUUUACAAUAUUUGAACAAACCCAUCCACUGUACUUGUUUAGCUGUAUAAGCCAUUUUUUAACAGACUGAUUCAUGUGUUUUAUUUUCAUUUUCAUUUUCAUUUGUAUGAUACCGAGCCAGUUUUUACCACAUUGAAAUGCAGAAGAAAAGCAACUUUCAAGUUUA